rnacentral:lncRNA from 1 species
CUGACAAAAUUUCAAACAUUUGUGACAUCCACAUAGAACAUUCAAAAGCAUUCCAGUGGCAGCUCGCACGUCAUCCAUCAGUUCCUCUGAGAACAGGCAGAGCUCUUUACUGUGAUGUCUCGCUGGUCCCCUGAUAACCUCUGAUCUUGCCUGGGAUGCAUCCGCCGCAGCAAUCACAACCCUCCACGGUUUUCCAAGUUAACAGCUUAGUACGUUUGAGAAAAUCCAAAUUUUGUAUCUUUUCAAAUGGAAGGCCGUGUGGUAAAGUGAAAAGAGCAGUGGACUUGGUAUCAGGAGUAAGAAGAACCAACAAUGAUGAAUACAUCGAUGACGUGCCAGGUGAGUAUCUUUGGAACUGCACUUGCAAGGAACAUGCUUUGAGAAAUAAUUUUCUUCACACCAAAGGCCUCGCCGCUCUGCAGUGUCUGCCAACAUGCGUUCAUUCCUUCACGGAGUCAACAGGCCCUGAAACAAUAUUGCCCAUCAUUGCUGCUUCCCGGCGGUUUACUGCUGUUACACAGAAAGUGUCAUGAUGCUGGGGACCAGUGAAGACGUUUCAGAUGUCCCAGACUGCUGCAAGAGUGAAAGUUGGAGGGGACUGUGGAAGAUCUUGAGGCACAGAUGAGCAACACUCCAUCUGGUCAGUCAUCAAAAAAGUUCUGAAGAUCACUGAGUGAAAAAUGCAUUCACUGGACAUGGAUAGGAAAAACAGCCAGUCUACUUAGUCCCUGGGCACAAGAAAUGGACAGUAUUGGGAGGCUGGAGCACAGCAUAAGGAAAUAAUUAGAAAUGCAGUCAAAGAAUUAUGUACCAGGAUGUUCACAGAAGCAUUAUUUAAAAUUGAAGAACAAGCCAAAAAAAAAAAAUUGGACUCAAACCAAAUAGCCCAAAAUAGGGGAUGGUUAAAUAAGAUGGACUAUUAAACAGACAUUAAAUAUCAUGUUUUCAGAAUAUAUUUAAUUAAAUGGAAAAAAACACAUAUGAUACACUCUAAAGUUUAAAAGCAUGCACAGCUGUAUAUACAAUAUGUUUUAAAUCAGUGUCAAAAACGUUACGUUAAAAAUGAGCUGAAACUUGUGAAAAAUACUUAGGAUGAUAUAAAGUACUUUUCCAUCAUAUUGUAAGCAAUGAGGAAAGAAAAGGCAGGAAGAGAAGGACCCUAUUGCUUGCAGAAGAGAGCAAUUUCCUAACAGACAAUAGAAUUUAUUUUUCUCCAGCAAGGAAAAUUAUCUUCAAGUUCUAAAAAUAAAAAAUACAAUAAAAAUAUUAAAAUUUCAACCCAAAAUGGUGAGGAAG